rnacentral:rRNA from 1 species
UCCUACGGGAGGCUGCAGUAGGGAAUAUUGCACAAUGGAGGAAACUCUGAUGCAGCGACGCCGCGUGAGUGACGAAGGCCUUCGGGUUGUAAAGCUCUGUUCUCAGGGAAAAAGAAAGUGAUUGUACCUGAGAAGAAAGGACCGGCUAACUUCGUGCCAGCAGCCGCGGUAAGACGAGGGGUCCAAGCGUUGUUCGGAAUCAUUGGGCGUAAAGCGGGUGUAGGUGGCUCUAUAAGUCAGGAGUGAAAGCCCCAGGCUUAACUUGGGAAGUGCUUUUGAUACUGUAGAGCUUGAAUGUGGGAGAGGAUAAUAGAAUUCCAGGUGUAGUGGUGAAAUACGUAGAUAUCUGGAGGAAUACCGGUGGCGAAGGCGGUUAUCUGGCCCAACAUUGACACUGAGACCCGAAAGCGUGGGGAUCAAACAGGAUUAGAUACCCCUGUAGUCUCC